AUGCCACCCAACUUGUUUAGGGUUCAACUGGUUCGGGUGCUGCCAGGCUGCGACGACUUGUUACCUCCGAUUCGACCCGUCGGGGCCGACGAUGAUGACGUGAUGACCCUCAGCGCCUGCCUGAGCUGGCCCCUGCUUUGGCCGAAGAUCCAGAUUCGUUUGGGGGCGGGGGACACCACCCCAAAGACAACACCGCCAGUCGUGCCGGCGCCAAGUCGGCCCCAUGGCAAGACCGUCGUAACAGUGCCGGACAUCCCUAUGCCACUGGAUCCAAACAUGCAUAUGGCACAGGAUCAGAACGACGACGACGACGACGAUACAUUUGGCAACGUCGAUCAGUACUUUGCCGAGCAUGGGUACGAUGGCGACUUCAUGGGGCCUCCUUCUCAAGAACCAAACCCAACAAAAGACGUGUGCGAUCUAGCUCGUACCGCGGAGAAGCCAAGUUGCAACAGGCGCCGUCUGGCGUUCAGCUCUCAGGAGACGCCUCCAGCUGCCGACUUCACCGAGCCUCAGAUAGGCGAGGUGCGAAAUAUUAUCAGCCCCAACACACUCAAGAAGGCGGUCUGUGAGCAGAACUCGGUCCCAUUACAGGAGAAGAAGAAGGCACGCAAAAGAAAGACUAAGAAGGGUGCGAGCCAGCCGGCACCGAGUACGAUCCGUGCUCAGGACGGGCCACCUUCACCGCAGGAUAUCUCGAGGAGGGUGCAUGUGGCGGGUAGGGCGAUGCUAUCACCAAAUAUGCUCAAUGCUGCAACCGGUGCUAUGCGGAGUCUGCACGACAGUGUUCUUUCUUUGGAGAAGCGGCGUCUCAGAGAGAAGGAUGUGGCAUACCCGGUUUUCGUGGCCAAGGUGCCAGAGGGCAAGGGCUUUGUGGAUGGCGACAUCGGGGGUACGAUCGUCCUGCGGUUUGAUGACAUCUUUGCUAUGUUUAACCUUCAUCCGCUGCACUACACCUUCGUUCGGCUAUUUUCGCUGAGUAUGGAGAUGCGGAUCAUUCGCGACAAGACCCCGGACAUCGUGAUAGUCGACCCCUUCUACAUGCGUGCCAAGAUCUUGGGCAGCGCUGGGGACCGGCAAGUCGCGAGUUCUUACCUCGAAGGCGUCAUUCUGGCAAACCAAGAUAAGGAUAACUUCCUCGUGCCUUACUUUCCCGACGACACAUGUUGCACGCUCAUCCUCCUAAGCCCCAAAUAUUCCAUGGCCACGUAUUUCGACCCGGACCAUCAGUCGAACGUAGACUACACAAAUGUCAAGAAGGUUCUUGAUGAUGUUCUCCCCGGCUACGCCCAAUCUGGAGGCACCUUCACCAGGCCUAUUCGUAAGUACGGCAAGCACGUGUUCUCCCACAAUACGACGUUCUGUUGCGUCAAGCAGCCGCCUGGCGGUCAGAAGGGUGCCUACUACGCCAUCCAUCACAUGCGGGCGAUCGUACGGGACCAUCAUCAACUUCUGCUACCGAGUAAACUCCAAGAUUGGGCCGCGAGCGUGUCGGCAAUCCAGGACGCGGACCUCCGACAAGAAUUCUUUCGCAUCCAGUCGGAGUUUGCGGAAAUCAUCCAUCAAGAUGUCCUUCGUACCUCGGGGCAGUUCUACCUCAGAAAUCAACCGUCCAACAGUGACAUCGACACAAUGCUACAAAUGCAGGAUGACAACGCCUGUUCUUUCAUGACUCCCACGAUAGACGGUGGCUUCAUCCACGCUCCGGUCCCUUGA
rnacentral:rRNA from 1 species